CACGUAGGGGGCAAGCGUUGUCCGGAUUUAUUGGGCGUAAAGAGCGUGUAGGCGGUUAGGUAGGUCCGUUGUGAAAACUCGAGGCUCAACCUCGAGACGCCGAUGGAAACCAUCUGACUAGAGUCCGGAAGAGGAGAGUGGAAUUCCUGGUGUAGCGGUGAAAUGCGCAGAUAUCAGGAAGAACACCCGUGGCUAAGGCGGCUCUCUAGUACGGUACUGACGCUGAGACGCGAAAGCGUGGGGAGCGAACAGG
rnacentral:rRNA from 1 species